AAGCUCCCUGUCGAAUUCGCGAAGUAACAGUUUAAAUGUAUAAAGCAUGCCGCCGCCCCCAAGUAAAUGCGACCGUGGGUCGUUGAAAGAGCGAGACUGUUCCAGCGCCACUAACUCUUUCUCGAAUGAUGGGUCAUUUCUUGAGCAUUUCAAGAAACGCGAAACAGAAUUUUCUCCUGCAAAGACUCCUACUUCUAGUUCAAGAAGUGAUCAUGAAACAGAAGAAAAUGACGGGAGCAGAGCCGAGCAGUGUCGAGAAGAAAGUAGCUCGAUGAAGCCGACUUCGAAACCUGCUGUGAAGUUUGGCCAAUUCUGUGGGAAACGGAAAGCCUUGAUGAAGAGCCAGCCCAAACCCAAGAAGAAGAAAGAAGAUGAGGCGCAUAGUGGCAAGUCAGAACCGUGGAAGGCGUACAUGGCUGAAGUUAAACGGUAUAAAGACCAGACCUGUGCGGAUGACUCUGAGACAGUAAGACCCUUAGUUAAAUAACAACGGUGGGUGUUAUGUUACUUAGGUGCAGUAUAAUAGUACAUCAAAGCUAUGUUGGUGCUGAUGUGCUCUGCUGCUCUGUUCAUGUAUGGACCUGUGCCUCGUCACAGGCAUGGCCGGUGGCCUGCCUGUCAUCCUUAUUGCUGGAGUGGACCCCGCUCGUGUCCUACUGUGGCUGUGUGCACAUGCCGAAUACAGAAUGUGUUAGGACAUUCAGACUACAUGUAUUUCCACCGUGCUCACUGCACUGUGCUGGCUUGUUGUGCCUUUGACUUUAUUCGCAUUUCAUGAAAUAUCCCAAUGCGGCCCAUGUUAUUGACUACUCAACCGGUAUGUAUAUUUCUCUGUAUUAUUUAUGCUGCCCUCCCGAAAUGGCUUUGUGAUAUCACACACGCACGAGUGCAUGUGCCUGCUCUCAGAUACUGCUGCAGUACAAGAGCAAUUAGAACAUGCUUUGAUUGUUUGUUUUCUGCAAGCAGAACUAGGAUAGUGGCUGGCUCCAUUCUGUUUUUCUCCCUGGCUUUCCUUUUCUGGUUUUUCCCUAUCUCGUGCAUACCGUGCUGGGCAUGGAUAGCACAAUACACUGUAGUGCAUUUAGGAGAAUAGCCCAUGAUAGCACGUCUACAAUGAAUGUUCAAGCGAUAUAUAAAUCUUGCUAGUUAGAUGGACUAAAUGUGUGCAAGUUCA